GUUUCUGUAGUUGAGAACAACAGUGGUUUUUCAGACCAUAGGCCUUGGUGUAAGACCAAGCAGAAAUU
rnacentral:tRNA from 1 species